GGAUUUUGAAGAAGAGCUCUGAUGAUCCAGGCUAUCUGUGCCUCUGUCUUGGAGGAGGUCCUGGACCAGCUGCACACUCACUGUGCUGAGCAGAGCUAUGCCCCUGGCAGCACUUCACUCCAGCCUGCCUGCAAGGAGAAAGGAAUGAUGGAAAAUGUCCCUCCCAUGAAACACCCCUUCGGUAUAUCUCUAGACCAACUCACCAGCAACUUUUAAUUUCUCCCUCCAAAACCUUGGAUGUAAAACCUUGGGCUGCUGAAUUAUUAUUACUGUAUCUGAGGGAAUCACACUAUCCUGUUCUUACUCCAAAGAUUUUACAGUUAGUCCUCCGGCACAAUCCCUUCUCCUCUCCCUCUCCAUAGUAACAGGGGAACUGUUAUUUUUGUAUAUUUGUUAGGAAUGUAGUUAGCAUUCACUGAAUAAAAUCAGAAAGCAGUAUUUCACAUAGAAUAAUUAUGAAUAUGUAUUUACUUGAAUAAGCUGUUGAUUUUGCAUGAAUUCUGCACACUGUUUCCUAGGCAAAUAUGCUAAUGAUUGAUGUGUGAAAAUUUACUUUAUUUUGGGCUUGUCAGACUAACUAACACAGUGAUCCAAAUCCAGAAAAUUGUUUCCUUACGCCUAAGGAACCAUAACAAUUACAGGAAUAUUCCAGGGAAGUUGAUUACUAAUACAUCAAACCCUCCUCUAUGGAUAUGAUGAUUUUGCAGCAAUAUUUCCAAACAAAAAUUUACUUUACUGCUGUCUCUUGGCAUUGGUAUUCAAUCAAGUCCUCAUGGCUGUAUCAGCUCAGACCAAUGACAUUACAAUAAUUUCAUGGUUUCUGUGACAGCAUCAUGGGCUGUGAUGCCAAUGAGCACUGAAAGGAGCAGUGCCAGAGGGCCAUGGCCAUCUCAGCAGGCACUAGGGAGCAGUGGGUGUUGUUUACCUGAACUUCAACGAGGCUUUUGACAGCCUCCUGUAGUAUCCUGGAGGAUAAGGAUACUGAGCUGGAGACAAGGGAACUGAGCAGGAGGGUAAGAUGAAUGGAAAAUUGACUGGACCACAGGACUCCAGGUAUUCCAGGCAGCAGGUCAGAGUUGAAGUAGUGACUGGUUACUGGUGGUGUUCCUCAGGGUCUGAUAUUAUUUAAUAUUAUUAAAGCCGGACAAUGGAGUGGGAUGGAACCUCUCAAAGUUCACUGAUGGCCCAAAACAGGUGGAAGAGUCAAUGCACUGAAGGCCAGGGCAUUGAAGAGGGAUGACAACUGGCUGGAGAAAUGGGUUGAGAGAAACUUCACCACAUCCAAUAAAGACAAAUGUAAAGUCCUGCACCCAAUAAGGAAUAACAUCCAUCAACAACAUGGGCUGGGCUUGCUAGAAAGCAGCUUUCAAGGCAAGACCCAGGGGUCCUGGUAGACAGCAAGUUUGGUGGUAAGGCACUGGCACAGGUUGCCCAGGGCAUUGCGGAUGCCUUAUCCCUGGAAAUGUUCAAGCCAGGUUGGAUGGUGCUUUGAGUAACCUGGUCUAAUGGAAGAUGUCCCUGCCCACGGUGGGAGAUAGGAAUAACGUGAUAUUUAAGGUCCCUUCCAAAUCAAAACAUUUUAUGAUUCUGUACUGGCUCAAGUUCAGCAAAAACCACCAAGAUGCUCAGGGUGCUAGAGCAUGUGGAGUACAAGGACAGGUUUAGAGAGUUAGUUGAAGAAGAGAUGGCUCAGGGAAUAUCUAAUUGCUCUCUGUAACUACCUAAUAAAUGACUAUAGACAAGAUGGAGCCAGACUCUUCUUUGGGGGUGCACUAUGAAGGCAAGGGACAGUGAAUCUCCUUAGUGCAGCAAGGUGGAUCCCAGUUAGAUGUAAGGAGGAAAACUUCAUGGUAAAGAGGAUCAAGUGCUAGAAUAAGCGCUCAGAGAGGUUGUUAGCUCUCCAUUCUUGGAUAUACUCAAAACCUAUCUGGAUAAGGCCCUGACUACCCCCAUCUCACUUCAAAGAUGGCCCAAUUUUAAGCAGGAGCAUGGACCAGACAUGAAAGCUGCCUUCCAGUUCAUUUUAUGGGGAGUUUAUGGCAAACACUCUAGUGGAUUUUGCACUUGGAAAACUACUCCUUUUAUCUGUAUUUUGGAUAUCUUUCAUGUCACAGUAAAUUUCUCCAAAGAAUGGGAGUUUUGCCAAAGAAAGUGAGUGCUGAGACUAAUUUGUAUCAUGACAGUCUGGCUAUGAAUUUAUAAUUGCAUCACUCUAAGCCCUGACUGGUUCCAUACCUACGGUUCUCUGUAGCCGAACAUUAAUCACCAGCUUCCAGGGAUGAAAACCUUCCGGGGCUUUCAUCCCCAUCUUGUGGAGGAGGCAAGCUGUGCCCUUCAGUGGGCAGCCACAGUCCCUGGCUCUGUGUCUCCAGCCUGCCUGCCUGCCCUGCCUGCCUGUGCAGCCCCACAGAGGUCUGGAGAUCUGUGACCGCUCUUCAGAGCAAGCGUCGAGGAGCCAAACAUGCAGCCUGAAUGUCUCCCACAUCAGUUGUGUUUGGAGAACUAUGCAGAGAACUUCCCAGCUGUCCUGAAUGCUAGUCAUCAGGAAUUGUGCUUUUGACAUAAAUGACACCCAAGAUUUCACAGUUCCCAUCCCUUAAACAUGUGCAUUCAAAUCCUA
rnacentral:lncRNA from 1 species